CACGUGGAAGUAACGGCUCUCAUACGAUCACUGCAGUUAAGCAACGUCGAGCCUGGAAGUACCUAGAUGGGUGACCAUUUGAGAAUACCAG